GCGGAGGGAUGCGGUCAUGUCGCGCAGAGAUGCGCUAGAACGGCCCGAUUAUCCCAUGAGCACGGGGCACGGAGCGGGGAUUCUCCCCCAACGACCAGCUCGUUCUUUUAUUGCUCGGCACUUGGGAACAGAAGGCAGUAAGAGACAAAGCUUUUAGCAUGUCCAGCCCAAGAGCAAUGCAGAACCUGUAUUUUGCUUUAUGUACUUAUUUUAUGGAUGUCUUUGAAAAAACCAGAAGCUCACAGAACACUGAGAGAAUCCAGACCUAUUUGGCCUCAGUCUGUACUAAAGGAAGAUGCUGCCUGCUAUUUCACCCCACAGUUUCUUAAAAACAAACAAACAAACAAACAAACCAAAAACAAACCAACAAACCAAAACCCAACGCUGGUUUGAAUAAGUGGUUAAAUACAGAGUUUGGAGCUGGCCCAUACUACAAUAUAUUGCAUUACCUCAUCAAUAAAUCCCUGUCUGCUCUAGACGGAAAAUGGACAGACAUCUGCUGCCAACAAGGAAGACACAAGCAACAGAAACAUUGUGUACUGUGUCAUUGCUAAUGCAAUGCACAGGAACAGAAUCAGUCAUCAAAAAGGUUAAGUGAGUUUUCCAAACUGUAAUCACAUAUUUCAGAAAUUUCUGAUCCUGUUAAAGUCCAUAAUGUUUCAGCCUUCCCAUAGCUAAAAGGAAAGGAUGUCAUUUGCUAAUAAACAAAAUAUUUGAAUUAGUGAAGAAUGUGAAGAACUCGUGACUGUUCUAAAAGGUAAAAAUACUUGGCCAAUAGUGUCACUGGGGGUUUUUUGUUGUUUCUUUUUAAAAAUUACCUCAGCCAGGAAAGUGAGUCACCGCCCAGUCCCACUUCUUGGGUAUCACCUGAAAAUUUAGCUUCCAGCUGUAAAGUUUCAAGAGAGGUAUAAAACACACCCCGAAAUAACUCAAAACAGAAAACCUAACCCCAAACCCACAGCCUGACAGCUUCCUCAGGAUGGCAAACAUCAUGGAAACCAAAAUAGAAGUUUUUAUGCCCAGAACUGCAGCUGCAACUUAAAAGGAAAGAAGUUGGCUUGAAAAACACUACUGCAGUCCACGAAGGCCAGGCUGACUGCACAUUAGAUGGGGUUUAGGGAAGAAUGACUUUGACUCUGCUCUGACUUGCAUCAGCAACCAGCUUCAGCAUCACAUCAGCUCCUGGAUGCAAGGAGCCCAACCGGCUGCUCUGAUCCAAACCAGUGACUGAAUCCAGCCUGUGAAAUCUCCGGGCAAACAUGCAACAAAAACUUAUUUCAUGAAGUUUAGUGCCUCCACUUUCCACUCUACAUGUGAGCAUAUUGCACAGUGUAAAUUCAUCCUAUAAGGGUUAGAAAGUGCUGAGGCUUUGGGGCUUGACAGGUCCUGGGGAGAGCAUGCCAAAGCCCAGCUCCCAAACUAGGUUGUGACUUCUUAUCAAUGGCAGAGCCACUGCACAAGCAAUGUCUGUUUUUGGGAGGGAAAAGAAAAGCCUCUUCUCCUUGCUUCUGGCAUCUGUGCUGCUGGGAUAGAAAAGCAGCACCUGCAGAUGUGCAGGUGACGGAUUUGUGCUGCAGAGGUAGACGCCUGAAAGCCACCAGCCCAUGGGUCUUCAGAACUCCACUUACUCACUUUUCUUUUCUCAGAUAAGCGUAAAGAGCAGCUUACAGGGCUAACAGGUAUAACUGUUCCCUCUCAGAGGGAAAGGACAUUCCUACCCACUGUCAUCAGGUAGCACAGGCCCUCAGUGGCUCCACCGCCAGAAGUUCGGUGCACACGCACAGUGCACGUGAAAUACCCAUCUUCCACAUUUGCAAAGGAUCAGCGAUAGCCAGUUUUUCCAGAGCUUUAAGAGCUCUCUGAAUACUCCAAAUCCAGUCCUGUUGGUCCAACCUGAAAUUACACUCAAACCCAAAAUAGCACCUCGGCAGUGCCAGCACCACUCAUCUGUGCGUCAUGCCCCGAGACUCACCACGCCGGGGUGUGGCGAUGGCAGCAAACGCACAGUUCCCCGGGCACUCCCAGCCCACUUCCUCAAACAUGCCUAGUCACACACACCACUCCCCACAGUAUUCCAAAAUAGGAAUUUUUUUGGUAGAGCCAGUAUACCACUGUAUUUUCCUCUUCCUUCCUCUUCAAGGAAGCCUUUUAGGGAAGAAGAAGGUGCCUGAGGUGCUCAGGUGACAUGUCCGCUCCCCUGCACGGAAGGAACGUUGCCAUGUAGGUUUAUGCACAAGGAGAACUUCCAGCACUGACAGGAUUCCUUCAGCACAUCAUUGCGCAAGUGGACACAUCUCCUCCCCAGUUCCAGCUGCCAAGUUUCACUGGGAGGCCACUAACACAUAUUUGCCCUCCAGAAGUUACUCAAUGAUGGCUGUGGGAGCAGCAGCUGCUGCCUUCCAGGUGACAAGAGAGAAGAGAGGGUAAAUCCAGGAAUCACCUUGUCCCUCUCCUUUUACCACUAGCCCUCAAGAACUGACCCUCUGGCAAAGUUCUGGGGGAGGAAGGGAGCUCAUCCAAUGUGCUGGCCUUUGGCUACAUUAUGCUGUGCAGGCCCACUGCUCCCUGCAGUGAGUCCCACUGCCCAGGUGAGGAAAACCACCUGCUUCUGGACACCAGGUUUUCCUGCCCACUCCAGAAGUAGUAGUUUCCACACCUAGUUAGCAAUGCCAAGAGAUGUCAUGCUAAUAUUGGAAGCUAUUCAAGAUAGCUGAUGAACCCAUGGCAAUGAGCAUGCUACAUCAGUCCUAGUGAUUUUUUGGAUGGGUUUUACCUGUGGGCACUUCUAGCUUCUGCCUAAAAUAGCUGUUUGCUGGGGUACAGCCAGCUCUACUGUCAACCAGCCAAGGGGGUGUAAGACGUGUUGGUCCCCUCCAGCAUCUCAAUGGUAGAGCAAUCUCUAUGGCCAGGGGGCUGGGCCACAGCAGCCUCAGGAGAUCCCAGAGCUAACAGAGUAUCAGCAGACCUCAGUAGGCCUCCAAGAGCAGCAAAGGUGGCUCAGCUUCCUGCCUCUGCCUGCUCUGGUGCUGCACAUUGAACGUUUUCAGGAGCAUUCCCUCUCCUUAAAAAAAAAAAAAAAAAAAAGAGUGGGGAGAAGCACUAAAGAACGAAGAGCUGAAAUAGAAAUCAGCUAACCUAAAUAGUCUACUUCACUAGAAAAAACCCACCAUGCUUUAUGAGCCAGGGCUUUAGAGAGCAAAUCUGAGUGCCCAGCCACCAUCCCAUUUUGGAUCAAUGACAUUUACUAUGCACCAGAUGCUCCCCUCCUCCAGUUCUGUCCACAUUCUCUUUAAAAGAUAAGGAUUUUAAUGACAUUAUGCACAGACAGAUAGAAGCACUCUCCCCUGUGCUUUUCGAUACAAAUUGAAAGUUUAUGCACUUCUUGCUUUCACCCUCAGUUGCAACCAAUGUCAGCAUACAUUCCAUCAAUGUAAACAGCUGUGCAAAGAUGUGACAACUGAGGAGCAAGCAUUUGACCUUAACUCCUCGGUUUAUCAGUCUUUCUAAAGAAAAAACAGAUCCAUCUUUGCUAGAUUUCCCCCCUAAAAGCUUCCUGAGCUGCUCUGUCAGCGAGCCUGUCAUCUGGAAGAAAGCAAGACAUUAGUCAGGCUCAUGCUUAUUUAAUAAAAACCUUGCAUAUGCAGGAGGGACUGAAAGUUAGUCUUUAUUUAAAAAACGCCUGCAAACUACAGUAUGAUUUUCCAGUGCAAAACAGAUCUGAGGGCUUACCCAAUUUAUACCCUGUGCUCCACCAGCGUUCAGCUUAGCAAUUAACCAGCUAGUUAUUCACAGCUUAGAUUAGGGAGCCAUGCAGUCACCAAAGAAGUCCACAAAUAUGCCCAGAACACUGUGCAAAGGAUAUUUCAUGUCUUGCUAUUUCAUAAGGAAAUCGGAGGCUUCAACUGAUGUCAGCUCCAGGAAAUGAGCCACAGGCAGAUGAUGCCGGAAGCAGGCUUUAUAUUUAGUACUGAGUCACCCACUUUAUUAAAUUCAAAAGACAAAAAAGGUGGGUGUGGAGAAGGGAUACGUGGAAAAAAAAUGAACAAGUUAUUCCCUUGAGACCAUGGGCCCUGGAGAGUCUAGUGUUGGGUGGGGUUUUUUAGUAAAGGGAGAGAGAAACUAAAGAUGACAUGGGAACCCUUUCUGCUCUUUGACUGGAAAAGCAGUUGCCAGAUGUGCUACACUUCCCUGGGCAGAAGCCAGCACAUUGCAGGGGUGUGCAGUGCCUUUGGGAUUUGCUCUGGCCAGUCCUGCAGGCAGGUCUCAGGCUUGAGCAGGCCACCACCAGUUCUGAGGCACUUUCCCAUCCUUUCUGCUACAUCUCCUCUGAGCCAAAGGAUAAGACACUGGAGGAGCUCAGAAUAGAGAAUAGUUCUUUGGUUUUUGAUGCUUCUUAAAACCUUUUUUUUUUUCCUGCAUGUCAAAAGACCUUAGUACAAUCUUAACUGCAAAUUGUAGCACAAUGUAAAUGACAGAGUACAGAUUUGUUCAGAAGAGGUUUGUAUUUUCAUGCAAGUCUGUCACAAGCCUUUUAAUUUUCUGUCAGUGAUUAAUUCUCUAUAGCCUGAGCAGCAGCAACAGCUUUGCAAAGUUUGCAGCUACUUAAGCCAGACUUUUCCCCUGAGAAGACUCACUUUCUAAAUAUUAAAACUUAAAUACUGUUGCCAAAGCCAAGCACUGCACCUCACAUUGACUCAAAAACUCAACUUCAAGAGCUCUCUCUAAUGCCAAACAUCACCAAUGACUUGCCUACAGAAGCACCCUAUUAAAUUACUAAUAAAA